UACGUAGGUGACAAGCGUUGUCCGGAUUUACUGGGCGUAAAGCGUGCGCAGGCGGUUCGUCGUGUCCGAUGUGAAAGCCCCGGGCUCAACCUGGGAAUGGCAUUGGAAACUGGCGGGCUUGAGUGUGGCAGAGGGGGGUGGAAUUCCGCGUGUAGCAGUGAAAUGCGUAGAGAUGCGGAGGAACACCGAUGGCGAAGGCAGCCCCCUGGGCUGACACUGACGCUCAGGCACGAAAGCGUGGGGAGCAAACAGG
rnacentral:rRNA from 1 species